GAAGGUGGAACCUUAUGGAAGGUGAUUAGGUCACAGGAAUAGAGCCCUCCUGAAGGGCUUCUGUCCUCUUUCAGGGGACCAAAAUGCAGCUGCCUUGUUCCUUCCAUGUGAGACAAAGCAAGAAGUGAAUCACAGGCUUUUUGGACAGGGAGAGGGAGAGGGCAAGAUGUAGCUAUUAGUGUCUUCCAUUUAUAUGGCAAGCAAGCUGAGGAACCCAUGAAGAGCAAGUCGGAAAGUAUCUUUUGAUACAGAAGCCAGAAAUUCUUCCACGGUUGCUGCCUCUGUUCCUGCUUGAGUUCCUGCCCCGAUUUCCCUCAGGAAGGGCUCUGUAAUCACGAUGUGUAAAGCAAGCAACCCCAUUUCUCUCCAGUUUAAACCACCACCACCACAACAAAAUGAGCCACAAAACAGGUCCUAAAACCCACUUCACUCCAGAGGUCCUAUGCAUUACCCUUCAAGGAAGGAAUGUUGAAGAGGAGGUCCGCAUAGCUUUCCCCAGCCAGUCGACAUUUGGCAUAGCGGUAGAAAGCCGGCCAAUCCAGUGAUGCAUCCAGAGAGGACAAAGAGGGACACCCCCUCUUCUCCACAUCUCACAGUGUAAACGUCUUUCCUGAUGGGUUUUUAUAACCAUAUAUCCUUCAUAAUAAACCAGUUAAGUGCCUCCCCUGACUUCUGAGA
rnacentral:lncRNA from 1 species